rnacentral:rRNA from 1 species
UACGUAGGGUGCGAGCGUUUGUCCGGAAUUACUGGGCGUAAAGGGCUCGUAGGCGGCCAACUAAGUCAGACGUGAAAUCCCUCGGCUUAACCGGGGAACUGCGUCUGAUACUGGAUGGCUUGAGAUUGGGAGAGGGAUGCGGAAUUCCAGGUGUAGCGGUGAAAUGCGUAGAUAUCUGGAGGAACACCGGUGGCGAAGGCGGCAUCCUGGACCAACACUGACGCUGAGUGAGCGAAAGCCGGGGAGCAAAGCGGG